rnacentral:rRNA from 1 species
UUGAACGCUGGCGGCAUGCUUUACACAUGCAAGUCGAACGGCAGCGCGGGCUUCGGCCUGGCGGCGAGUGGCGAACGGGUGAGUAAUACAUCGGAACGUGCCCAGUAGUGGGGGAUAGCUCGGCGAAAGCCGGAUUAAUACCGCAUACGACCUGAGGGUGGAAGCGGGGGAUCUUCGGACCUCGCGCUAUUGGAGCGGCCGAUGGCAGAUUAGCUAGUUGGUGGGGUAAAGGCCUACCAAGGCGACGAUCUGUAGCUGGUCUGAGAGGACGACCAGCCACACUGGGACUGAGACACGGCCCAGACUCCUACGGGAGGCAGCAGUGGGGAAUUUUGGACAAUGGGCGAAAGCCUGAUCCAGCAAUGCCGCGUGUGUGAUGAAGGCCUUCGGGUUGUAAAGCACUUUUGGCGGGAACGAAAAGGACUGUGCCAAUACCACGGUUCGAUGACGGUACCCGCAGAAUAAGCACCGGCUAACUACGUG